rnacentral:SRP_RNA from 1 species
GCUGGGUGCGGUGGCGCGUGCCUGUAGUCCCAGCUACUCGGGAGGCUGAGGUGGGAGAAUCGCUUGAGCCCAGGAGUUCUGGGCUGUAGUGCGCUAUGCCGAUUGGGUGUCCACACUAAGUUCAACAUCAAUAUGGUGACCUCCCAGAAGUUGGGGACCACCAGGUUGCCUAAGGAGGGGUGAACCAGCCCAGGUCGGAAACAGAGCAGGUCAAAACUCCCAUGCUGAUCAGUAGUGGGAUCGCGCCUGUGAAUAGCCACUGUACUCCAGCCUGGGCAAUAUAGCGAGACCCCCAUCUCU